GAAGGUGAAGCGGGGCUUCGGCCCCGUGGAAACUGGCGCACGGGUGAGUAACGCGUGGGAAUCUACCCCGGGGUGGGGAAUAACCGCUGGAAACGGCGGCUAAUACCGCAUACGCCUUGCGAGGGAAAGCUUUAGCGCCCUGGGACGAGCCCGCGUCGGAUUAGCUUGUUGGUGAGGUAACGGCUCACCAAGGCUUCGAUCCGUAGCUGGUCUGAGAGGAUGAUCAGCCACACUGGGACUGAGACACGGCCCAGACUCCUACGGGAGGCAGCAGUGGGGAAUAUUGGACAAUGGGGGCAACCCUGAUCCAGCCAUGCCGCGUGCGUGAAGAAGGCCUUAGGGUUGUAAAGCGCUUUCGGCGGGGAAGAUGAUGACGGUACCCGCAGAAGAAGCUCCGGCUAACUCCGUGCCAGCAGCCGCGGUAAUACGGAGGGGGCUAGCGUUGUUCGGAAUUACUGGGCGUAAAGGGCGCGUAGGCGGAUUGUCAAGUCAGAGGUGAAAGCCCUGGGCUCAACCUGGGAACUGCCUUUGAAACUAACGGUCUAGAGUCCGAGAGAGGAUGGCGGAAUUCCCAGUGUAGAGGUGAAAUUCGUAGAUAUUGGGAAGAACACCAGUGGCGAAGGCGGCCAUCUGGCUCGGUACUGACGC
rnacentral:rRNA from 1 species